UACGUAGGGGGCAAGCGUUGUCCGGAAUCAUUGGGCGUAAAGCGCGUGUAGGCGGUUCGAUAAGUCUGCUGUGAAAGUCCAGGGCUCAACCCUGGGAUGCCGGUGGAUACUGUCGGACUGGAGUACGGAAGAGGCGAGUGGAAUUCCCGGUGUAGCGGUGAAAUGCGCAGAUAUCAGGAGGAACACCGAUGGCGAAGGCAGCUCGCUGGGACGGUACUGACGCUGAGACGCGAAAGCGUGGGGAGCAAACAGG
rnacentral:rRNA from 1 species